rnacentral:lncRNA from 1 species
GGGUUCACGCCAUUCUCCUGCCUCAGCCUCCCGAGUAGCUGGGGUUACAGGCGUGAGCCACCACGCCCGGCCUAAUUUUUUUUAUUUUUAGUAGAGACGGCUUUCACCAUGUUAGCCAGGAGGGUCUGGAUCUCCUGACCUCGUGAUCCACCCACCUCGGCCUCCCACAGUGCUGGGAUGAUGGGCCUGAGCCACCGCGCCCGGCCGGAAAUGAGUCUUAAGCAACUGCUGGUAGUGAUGCCUCUGAAGUGGACUAACGGAAAACAGCGCGUGACAGAGGACAACGUCUUAAAAAACGCUGAUUCUUCAAGUAACUGUACUCCUUGGAAUGGUCAACCCAGUCCCAUCUGUCCUUGAUUACUUAAUUUGCAGUCACCGGGGAGUUCAAAAUGACUUUUCCACAGUGAAGAUGGAAGCACACCUGGGCAGCAGAACGAGUGAUGUGGGCUCAGCUCACAGACCUUCUCACACAGGGAUGUAACAGGCGGCAGAAAGAAGGAAUUCCCUCCCCGCGAGAAGGCUUGGGAAGGACAGUCUCCAUGUUCCGGGAGACUCUGGACUUUAAGGAAGAUUCCUUCCUGCUCUAGCUUAUCUUUUUUAGCUUUUUUUUAAAGUAUUUUUUUUGCUGAUUAACUCCACUCUGCCAAUAGUGUGUCCUCUCAAAGGACUCCAAGUUCCCACAGUGCAUAUGUAUCCAAUUUUAUUGCUUUGCACUUGAUAUACGGCUUUGUAACUGCUCAAGGCAUAUUUUUGUGAACAUUAUGUUUCUGUCUCCCAUACUCUACCCUAAGCUUCUUAACAAUAAAAAUCAUGCCCUGCCCCUGCUUGGGAUUUUUAA